AUGGCCGCCUCGCUGCUUCGCCGCGCGGCCAGCGGCCGCGGGCGGUGUCCCUCGCCGGCGGAGUCGCUGCGGAGGCUGGUGUCCUCGGAGGCGGCGCCGGAGCAGGCCCUGCCGCGGCCUCUGCCGGAGAUGCGGCCGUUCGAGCACCGGCCGAGCCCGUACGCCGGGAUGGGCGGCGCCGAGAUCCUCGAGAAGCGGAAGAAGUUCCUUGGCCCCUCCCUCUUCUACUACUACCAGAAGCCGCUCAACAUCGUGGAAGGGAAGAUGCAGUACCUGUACGACGAACAAGGCAAGAGAUACCUCGAUUGCUUCGGAGGCAUAGUCACGGUGUCAUGUGGCCAUUGCCACCCUGAUAUUGUCAAGGCCGUGCAGGAGCAGACCAAGUUGCUUCAGCACACCACCACCAUAUACUUGCAUCAUGCCAUCGUCGAGUUUGCCGAGGCGCUUGCCUCCAAGAUGCCAGGCAAUCUCAAGGUUGUGUACUUCGUCAAUUCUGGGACCGAAGCGAAUGAAUUGGCAAUGUUGAUGGCUCGGCUGUACAGCGGGAAUCUCGGUAUGGUUGCAUUGAGAAAUGGAUACCACGGUGGGAGUGCUGGAACAAUAGGUCUCACGGGUUUGCAGACGUGGAAGUACCCGAUUCCUCAGGGUGAGAUUCAUCAUGUCAUGAAUCCGGAUCCUUACCGUGGAGCUUUUGGGUCUGAUGCUGCAGCUUAUGCCAGGGAAGUCGAAGAACAUAUAAAUUUUGGCAGUUCAGGAAGGGUUGGAGGUUUUAUCGCAGAAACUUUCCAAGGUGUAGGAGGUACUGUUGAACUAGCUCCUGGAUACCUGAAGUCGGUAUAUGAUACUGUCCGGAAGGCGGGUGGUGUCUGUAUAGCUGAUGAAGUCCAAAGUGGUUUUGGACGUACUGGAAGUAACUACUGGGGAUUCCAGACGCAGGAUGUCAUCCCUGACAUUGUAACGAUGGCAAAGGGAAUCGGCAACGGUCUACCACUCGGUGCAGUUGUAACAACUCCUGAGAUUGCAAGCGUGAUGGCUCAGAAGAUCCAGUUCAACACAUUCGGUGGGAACCCUGUCUGUUCUGCUGGUGGAUUGGCUGUUCUUAAGGUUCUCGACAAGGAGAAACGGCAGGCGCAUUGCGCAGAUGUCGGCGUUCACUUGGUGGAACGUCUGAAAUCUCUUCAGCAGAAGCAUGAAAUCAUUGGAGAUGUCAGAGGAAGGGGGCUGAUGCUUGGGGUGGAGCUCGUCACUGACAGGACGGAGAAGACUCCGGCCAAGGCUGAGACCGCUCUUCUGUUUGAGAAACUCAAAGAUCUUGGCGUUCUAGUCGGCAAAGGCGGUCUGCACAGCAACGUUUUCAGGAUUAAACCACCGAUGUGCUUCUCAAAGGACGAUGCAGAUUUCUUGGUGGACGCCAUGGACUACGCCAUGUCAGGGUUCUGA
rnacentral:rRNA from 1 species